UACGUAGGGGGCAAGCGUUGUCCGGAUUUAUUGGGCGUAAAGAGCGUGUAGGCGGUUAGGUAGGUCCGUUGUGAAAACUCGAGGCUCAACCUCGAGACGCCGAUGGAAACCAUCUGACUAGAGUCCGGAAGAGGAGAGUGGAAUUCCGUGGUGUAGCGGUGAAAUGCGCAGAUAUCAGGAAGAACACCCGUGGCUAAGGCGGCUCUCUAGUACGUGACUGACGCUGAGACGCGAAACGUGGGGAGCGAACAGG
rnacentral:rRNA from 1 species